GAUGAACGCUGGCGGCGUGCCUAAUACAUGCAAGUCGAGCGAACAGACAGUGAGCUCUCUCCUCUACGGUUAGCGGCGGACGGGUGGGUAACACAUGGAUAACCUACUUCUAAGACUUGGAUAAUUACGGGAAACCGGAUCUAAUACUAGAGCAUAUGUUCAACCGGUGGGAUCAAGAGUGAUUGACAGUUUUCGUGACACUUAUAGACGGAUCCGUGCCGGAUUAGCUAGGUGGUAAGGUAACGGCUAACCAAGGCGACGAUGCGUAGCCGACCUGAGAGGAUGAUCAGCCACACUGGAACUGAGACACGGUCCAGACUCCUACGGGAGGCAGCAGUGGGGAAUAUUGGACAAUGGGCGAAAGCCUGAUCCAGCAAUGCCGCGUGAGUGAUGAAGGCCUUCGGGUUGUAAAGCCCUGUUAUUAGGGAAGAAAAGCUGUGUAUGAAUCUCCCGCUGUUUUGACGGUACCUAAAGAGUAAGCAACGGCUAACUACGUG
rnacentral:rRNA from 1 species